GAUGAACGCUGGCGGCGUGCCUAAUACAUGCAAGUCGAGCGAACAGAUGAGGAGCUUGCUCCUCUGACGUAGCGGCGGACGGGUGAGUAACACGUGGAUAACCUACCUAUAAGACUGGGAUAACUUCGGGAAACCGGAGCUAAUACCGGAUAAUAUAUUGAACCGCAUGGUUCAAUAGUGAAAGACGGUUUUGCUGUCACUUAUAGAUGGAUCCGCGCCGCAUUAGCUAGUUGGUAAGGUAACGGCUUACCAAGGCAACGAUGCGUAGCCGACCUGAGAGGGUGAUCGGCCACACUGGAACUGAGACACGGUCCAGACUCCUACGGGAGGCAGCAGUAGGGAAUCUUCCGCAAUGGGCGAAAGCUUGACGGAGCAACGCCGCGUGAGUGAUGAAGGUCUUCGGAUUGUAAAACUCUGUUAUUAGGGAAGAACAAAUGUGUAAGUAACUAUGCACGUCUUGACGGUACCUAAUCAGAAAGCCACGGCUAACUACGUG
rnacentral:rRNA from 1 species